CACAGGCCAUAGCCACAAAGUGGACACUUUACCUGAUCUGAUUAGUCGAUGUGUCAAGCAAGCUAUCAGAAGCUCCACUACAGUGUCUGCCAUGAUGAUGACGAUGAUGAUGAUGUGGAGUGGGUGAAUGCAGCAAAAUUGCACAGAUGGAUUACAAAGCUAGACAUAACAGGGUCGCAAAGCUGAUUCAUUGGUCAUUGAGUAAAAAGUAUAAUCUGCCAGUAUCAAAGAAUUCAUGGGAACAUCAGGUGGAAAAAGUGCUAGAAAAUGAUCAAGUCAAGAUCUUACGGGAUUUUAGAAUACAAACUGAUCGACACCUUGAACAUAAUACACCAGACAUAACAGCAGUCGUGGAAUUUUUUUUUAAAAAAAUGGAUAAUUGACAUUGCAAUUCCGGGGGAUGCUAGAGUCGAAGAAAAAGAACAAGAAAAAAUGAUUAAAUAUAGAAAUCUGGCAAUAGAAACCACCCGACUAUAGAUGAAGAAUACAACAGUAGUCCCCAUUGUCAUCGGGGCGCUGGGAACUAUUUCAAAAAACUUUGCAACUUAAGUAGAAAAACUGCAGCUUUCUGAUUCAACACCUACAGAACUGCAAAAGAUGGCAUUACUUGGAACAGCAUACAUUUUACACUGAUACCUGGUUGAUACUUAGGUCUCUAGUGGAAACUUGUACCAGCUUAGCAAGGCCAAUCAAUUAUAACAUGUACUCUUUAUUUAUUAUUGAUUGUGUUGUGUGAAAUUUGAAUAAUAAUAAUAAUGAUGAUGAUGAUAUUACCUAGAAGUGACUAGGAUAUAUGUUAAAGAAACAAUAUUAGGCUAUGCUGGCUCUGUUCCCUGGUCUAUUUGUAAAGUUACUUAGGAUUGCCAGGUCCCCUCACCCUCCUGGAAGGAGGGGCAAGUGGCACUCACUUUUUUUAAUUUGAUUAUAUCACUUCCAGAAAGUGAUAUCAUUGUGCCACACUGAAAGCGCUCCCACAUUUCACAACGGGCCAAUUUGGACCCCAAACAGGCCCGCUUGGAGCUGAAGUCAGCAUGCUACGAAGCACAGGAAUACUCCAGGGGUGGUCUGAUGACAUCAUUCCCAGGAGUGACAUCUUAGCACUGCCCUGGGAGUGUGCCCAGGAGGCCUAUUUCUCCACCUCCCCCCUCUGCUGGCCAGGUGAGUGGUAGCAGGAGGCAGAAGGCAGGAGCAGGGGAUCCCCCCACCAGGGGACCUGGAAUCCCUAAAGUUACUCCUUGUGGAACGGAGAACCUGUCUCAAGGGACUGCUGCACAGCUGAUGGUAGCUGAAAUACUAUGAAGAACGUUGUUUCAAUAAAACUCCUCAACACUUUUUUUACACAAAAACGUGGUGCCUUCCAAAGAGAUAUCUAACAUACUCAUUUUAACACAAACAAGUGAUAGUCAAAUAUAUUUGAAGAGAAGGACAGUCUCCUGUUUUAAAAAUUCACAAUUUAAGUAAAUUAAGAGGAUUUUUUGUCCCUUUGUCUUAAUUAUUCUGGCUGCAUCACUGAGAAGAUUAGAAGGGCUUUUGGCACACCGUGGCACUUCUUUUUAGUGCCAGAGGCUCUGGCAGAUCAAAGGAGCCAUCACUUCAAACAGUUUGUGGCUUAUCAAAUGCUUAUCCUAGCACUGACCUCUCAGUCAUCUAUUAACAAACUCACUCUUUUUUCCAUCUAACAAUCCUUCUUCCCCAAUUUUGUUUGAGGAUCAUAGUUAGGCAGUUUAAACAGUUUACAGAAAACGACACAUUCUGACCUUCCUAGAUUCACCCAAUUUUCCCUAUUAAAGAGGAUUAAUUCCAAGAAACAAACUCAUUUUGGAACUAAAAAUGUGUUCAAGAUAGGAAAUAACUUUCAAGACCCAAUUAGUUUAAUGAUAUGGCAAACAAGUGGUGAUGUAGUUUUUGGUUAUGCAUUCCUAACAUGCUUUAAAGAAAACAUUUGAAGGAAAUAUUAACUGAGAUAUCAAACAGGAAGGGAGAAAUUCCGGUACUUAUAAUACUAGGGCCAAUUCGCACGACCCAAAACCAGACCAGAGCAUGCUGCAACCUCUCUGUGCACCAUAACUGCCCUUCUAUUUAUUUUAGUUCAAGGCAAUGAAAUCAGUUUAUGAAAAAGACUAAAUCCUCCAUGGUGACAGUACCUUCAAGCAUACUAGCAUCUUUAUCAUUAUACAGUAGAAGUUACUGUAUAAGAUUUUAAGUGUUCAACACUGUUUUCUGACUCCUUUUAAGCUGCUUUCUCUGAGCAAAGAAACUUAAUGAAUAGGUAAGUUUUAUUUGUUUAAUUUGUAAUUAACUACAUUUCUAUAUGUGCCUUUAUUUUUAUUUGUUUAUUUAUUUAAAACAUUUCUAUGCUGCUUUUCCACUCAGCUCAGGUUCCCCUAGGCAGCCAAGACCUAAUUGCCUGGGCCACAUAGUUUGCUUACAGGUCCAGCCUAAGUGGAGUUACAGCUUUCUAAGCCCAUUGACUUUGAUGAACUAAUGGCUCAGACUUUCCAUUCAACUUUCUCCUCCUCAGUGUCUACAGUAGUUAAGUGGUUUGGCUAUGAAUGAGCACUCUACUGGUUCAAAUCCCACUACUGCCAUGAGCUCAGUAGGUGGCCUUGGGUAAGCCUCUCCUCUCAGCCCCAGUUCCCCAGCUGUAUUGUAGGGAUAAUAAUAACAUUAACUUGUUUGCUGCUCUAGGUGGGGCAUUUAUUAUUAUUUCUCAGAGUCCUGCCUCUGUUUCACCUUUACAAGUUGAUCUAUAAAAAUAUAAGUCAGAUCUGAAUCUCUGUCAAAUAUCAGGAGCUAGACAGAAUAUGCAUAUUCCUGACAUUCUGCAAUCACUCCAUUGGCUUCCUAUUAGUUACCAGGCUCAAUUCAUGGUAUUAACCCUUCAUGACCUUGGUCUCUCAUAUCUGUUGGACUGAAUCCUUAUGCUUUGCCAAGGCAGUUUUGCUCAUCUGAACAUGGCCUUCUGCAGGAACCACAUCACAAAUGGAAAAAAACCAACAACUGCUCAUACUGUUGUGGCCCUCUUCUUAUGGAAUGGCAUGCUUGAUGAGGUUCAGAGGGCUCCUAUUCUCCUGCCUUCCCACAAACUGUGCAAAACUGAAUUAUUCAGGAUGGCUUAUUUCACUUGGGUAGGAGGUCUGUACUGUAAUGGUUCAAAGAGAUGCAUUGGUAAUGAGAGUGGGACGAUAGAUGAUACUUUUGUAUACUGUCUGUUGCUGAAUGUUCCAACUGGUUAAUUUCUGUGCUGUUUAAUAUGUCAUGUUCAAUUACUUAUGCUUUGUUUCAGCUCUAUGACAGAUUUAUGCUUGUUUUCACAUUUCUGCACAUUUUAUUUUUGCAUAUCCUAUUGUAUUGUUUAUUAAAUGUUCCCACUGUAA